GCGCCUCGAUGGCACCACAAUGCCAUUACUAUGAUGGAUUCUCAAGAGAUAGUAGAAGAUGAAACCUUAUUUAGAGAUUUAGAGUUAGAAAAUACUAAUACUAUUAUGGAUUCUCAACAGAAGAAUGAAGAUG